UAGGGAAUAUUGGGCAAUGGUCGAGAGACUGACCCAGCCAUGCCGCGUGCAGGAUGAAGGCUUUCUGAGUCGUAAACUGCUUUUAUCAGGGAAGAAUAAGGUCUAUGCGUAGACUGAUGACGGUACCUGAGGAAUAAGCACCGGCUAACUCCGUGCCAGCAGCCGCGGUAAUACGGAGGGUGCGAGCGUUGUCCGGAUUUAUUGGGUUUAAAGGGUGCGUAGGCGGCCAAAUAAGUCUGGGGUGAAAGCCCGCUGCUCAACAGCGGAACUGCCCUGGAUACUGUAUGGCUUGAGGACAGACGAGGUUGGCGGAAUAGAGGGUGUAGCGGUGAAAUGCAUAGAUACCCUCUAGAACCCCGAUUGCGAAGGCAGCUGACUAGACUGUAUCUGACGCUGAGGCACGAAAGCGUGGGGAGCGAACAGG
rnacentral:rRNA from 1 species